rnacentral:lncRNA from 1 species
AGACAUCUGAUAACUGCAUGGAAAUAAAAUCUGAAGAUCACUCCUUCUAGAGAUUCUGGCCAAGCAUAAGCUUGCUCUCUGUGUCCUCCGAGGCUCCGCACGCCGCUGCCUUCUGAUGGGCCACAGUUUCGCCGGCAUUCUCUGCCCACCUCCAUUGCUGAACAGGCUGGACCCCGACUCACAACUGUAUGACUGCCUUGUCUCUCCAUCUCCCGCACUGGGCCAGGGCGGAGACCUGUGGCUGCCCUGCCUGCUGUCUUUCUUUCGAAUUCUAAUGUGAGAAGAGGGAAGUGGAAUAAAGAAGCUAAUUCUUGGCUUUGCUAACUGAA